AGAGUUUGAUCCUGGCUCAGAACGAACGCUGGCGGCAUGCCUAACACAUGCAAGUCGAACGCCCCGCAAGGGGAGUGGCGCACGGGUGAGUAACGCGUGGGAACCUGCCCAGGGGUGGGGGAUAACCGAGGGAAACUUCGGCUAAUACCGCAUACGUCCUAUGGGAGAAAGAUUUAUCGCCCUUGGAGGGGCCCGCGUCG
rnacentral:rRNA from 1 species